GUGAGGAAUAUUGGUCAAUGGGCGCAAGCCUGAACCAGCCAUGCCGCGUGCAGGAAGACGGUCCUAUGGAUUGUAAACUGCUUUUAUUUGGGAAUAAACUCCGGUACGUGUACCGGCCUGAAGGUACCAAAUGAAUAAGCACCGGCUAACUCCGUGCCAGCAGCCGCGGUAAUACGGAGGGUGCAAGCGUUAUCCGGAAUCAUUGGGUUUAAAGGGUCCGCAGGCGGUCUUAUAAGUCAGUGGUGAGAGCCUACAGCUCAACUGUAGAACUGCCAUUGAUACUGUAGGACUUGAAUUCGAUCGAAGUGGGCGGAAUGUGACAUGUAGCGGUGAAAUGCUUAGAUAUGUCACAGAACACCGAUAGCGAAGGCAGCUCACUAGGUCUGGAUUGACGCUCAGGGACGAAAGCGUGGGGAGCAAACAGGAUUAGAAACCCCGGUAGUCC
rnacentral:rRNA from 1 species